rnacentral:sRNA from 1 species
UCAGCGGGACGCGUCGUGAGCGUGUUGCU